UACAAUUUAAGCUUUUAGUACAGCAACCGAGCGAGUAUUUUUGAAUAGUGGGAACAGACAGCACGUAAACACGUAAAAAGAAAACGAAUGUUGGCAAAUUGUCAAAAAAUCAAAGAUAAAUACACAAACAGUGUACGGUGAUCUGAAUGAUUGAUUUGUGAAUCUUUGGCCGGAAUGAGACGUGAAGGUGUACGAUCGACGAUUUUACGUAAAUAAUUGAUCUACCACGACGAUAAUCAGGUACUUUGUCGGGCACUGAAGAAAUUAUAUUUGAUCGGAAACUAUUACCAAGUUGCAAAAGGAUCUACGUCUACGUCGUAAUAACAGCUUUCGUCAUACGUGUGUUAAGAAAUGGCAAAACCAAAGGUCGAGUACGAAAACUUUUUUAUUAGUAGCUGUUCUAUAUAAUACAUCCAGAGGGAAGAAUCUCGAAGAUAACGAACGGUCGAUGGGUCGACGUACGAAGGAGACAUCGGAGAUCGUGCGGAAGAAGGAAGAUAAAAAUAAAUUCUCGACUUCCUCGCGGAUACGUGGGUGCGCGAACGCGUUCCAUUCUGGAUGCUGCACUUCGUUUAUGCGCAUGAAUACACGUGAAAAUCGUAUUGAUGUCAGGAAUUCGCGAGGGUAAUUUAACUGGAAAAGAAAUUUUAUAAUAAAGAAACUAAAAAGAAAAAUAUCGCAGCUCCAAUUCUUCGCAGAAAAUAAUUCGAAGCGAAUUUUUCGUCCGUACAAUUUUAACUUAAAUAUUUGUCCUUCAUUUUUUUUUCUAUUAUUCCUUUUUGUAUAUCCAAUGAAUCAUUUGCGUGAUAUUUAGAAGCUAUCUCGGUUAAAAAAAAAAAAAGGAAAAAAGAAGAAAAAAGAAAGGAAAAAAAGAAAAAAGAAGAAAAAAGAAAAAUGGGAAAGAAAAAAAACGGAAGAGGUUAUCGUUUGCGAGAUUCGAUAGCAUCCUCCGUCUUAUCCUCAGUAACCCCUCAUCAUCUCAUCUCUUUUUUUUUCUAUUUCAUUAUAUACCUCUCAUGAAAAUAUUAGAUUAAUUCACAAAUAAAUACCUUUUUUAUCAUCUUAACAAUAAACUUUUUGCUUGUAUUAAAGCAUUAAUUUAUCAUACAGAAAUUUACGAUAAUUAUUAAUCCGAAUUCUUAUCG